rnacentral:rRNA from 1 species
AACGAACGCUGGCGGCAUGCCUAACACAUGCAAGUCGAACGAGACCUUCGGGUCUAGUGGCGCACGGGUGCGUAACGCGUGGGAACCUGCCCUUAGGUUCGGAAUAACUCCCCGAAAGGGGUGCUAAUACCGGAUAAUGUCUUCGGACCAAAGAUUUAUCGCCUUUGGAUGGGCCCGCGUUGGAUUAGCUAGUUGGUAGGGUAAAAGCCUACCAAGGCGACGAUACAUAGCUGGUCUGAGAGGAUGAUCAGCCACACUGGGACUGAGACACGGCCCAGACUCCUACGGGAGGGAGCAGUGGGGAAUAUUGGAAAAUGGGCGAAAGCAUGAUCCAGCAAUGACGCGUGAGUGAUGAAGGCCUUAGGGUUGUAAAGCUCUUUUACCCGGGAUGAUAAUGACAGUACCGGGAGAAUAAGCACCGGCUAACUCCGUG